GAUGAACGCUGGCGGCGCGCCUAACACAUGCAAGUCGAACGGCACCCCUCCUCGGAGGGACGCGCGUGGCGAACGGCUGAGUAACACGUGGAGAACCUGCCCCCUCCCCCGGGAUAGCCGCCCGAAAGGACGGGUAAUACCGGAUACCCCGGGGUGCCGCAUGGCACCCCGGCUAAAGCCCCGACGGGAGGGGAUGGCUCCGCGGCCCCUCAGGUAGACGGCGGGGUGACGGCCCACCGUGCCGACAACGGGUAGCCGGGUUGAGAGACCGACCGGCCAGAUUGGGACUGAGACACGGCCCAGACUCCUACGGGAGGGAGCAGUGGGGAAGCUUGCGCAAUGGGGGGAACCCUGACGCAGCGACGCCGCGUGCGGGACGGAGGCCUUCGGGUCGGAAACCGCUUUCAGCAGGGAAGAGUCAAGACUGUACCUGCAGAAGAAGCCCCGGCUAACUACGUG
rnacentral:rRNA from 1 species